CAUUCUCUGGGGUUCACUGGAAGUGUUUUCCUUGUUUCUCACAGUUGCAUCACUUCCUCAGCCUUAGAUAUGAGUCCACAAUAUGACAUAUGAGCAAAACAUCACCAGCCAAACAGGGCCGAGACAGCUCAGCUAAGGCAGCAGUGGCUCUGGAGCACUCUCCAGUCACUCUUGGUGUCUGUAGAUACAACAAGGUCCCACGUGCCUGUUUGAAGCUCCCAGAUGUUGCAGCCGGUGUACCUGGCAUGCUGCAGGGCACUGAAGCAUAGCAAUAGAGGUGUGUGUAUUGUGGAAAAAGGGGUCACACGAUGCGUGUCAGCUGUAUGUCUUGGAAGUUGCUCAUCAGAGCCCCAACAAAAGGUAAGAAGGGCUCCUUGCUGCAGUAAGCACAGCAAAACUGUCAUGGCUUAGCAGGCUGUAGAGCAGAAGAGUGCCUGUGAACCUUUGGGUGACCAGUUUAGGACAGAGGGGUCUGUGAGGAGCUUUUCCUGCUCUGUUCUGGUGAGCCCUAUCUCACCCACCAGGACGGAUCUUACUGGGGAGGAGGGCUGGAAAAGCACAUCUUUGGUUUCAGUGAGCACCUUGUACUGGAGCAGAGAGCUCACCAGAUGCUCUCAAAGUUUCUCAUGGGCACUGAAGACUGUUUAUGUAUAUAAAUGUAUCCAAAUCAAUUCCCUUCCCUUUACUGCCUGAUUUCUUCUAACCUUGGUUAGAUCUUGUUUGAUCUCUUAGUUAGAUUCCCGUUCUCCUUCUCUUUCUCCUAAACUCUUUCCACUUGCAUUCCCUAUCUUUUUCUCCCUCUUUUGCAUUUUGUCUUUCCUACGCAUUCCUAGGUGUUGUUUUGUUUGUUUGUUUGUUUUUGUUUUUUGUUUUGUUUUUAUCUUUCUUUAUUACAGCGAAAUAAGGGGACUUCAGAGUUAGCAAGUCAGAGUGCUGAAAUCUAAUAUUAUUAGCAUGACACCCAUUUACAGCGUCGCUUUGGAGAAAUCCACCUCAUGAAAUGUCUGGGCUUCUUGAUCUGAAGAGCUGAGAUGACGAAUACCAAUUGCAAAGACAGUUGGCCAUAGCAGUUAAUGUUUGUGCAACACUUCACGUAUCUAAGCAUUGUAUCUGCUCUUCACCACAAGAAAGACUUGGAGCUGCUGCCACUGUGACCAAGCCAGUCUCUGAAUGUGAUGAUUAAUGAGCUAAUAGCAGUAUUUUGCUGCUGAAGUUAAUGCUGCUUCCUGAGGGCAACACGCCUGAUGAGAGAACUUGUAGCAGUCCAUACGCUAUAUUGAUUCGAAAUGCCACUGUAUGCUUUAAUUAGCUUUUAACCAUUACAAAGUUGGGCUUCAAAUGAAGAUGGCACAUAUGCUUGUGCGGCAAAUGCCUGCACCAAAAAGGUAAUCGUAAGGCAAAGUUAUCGACC
rnacentral:lncRNA from 1 species